ACCGGUGGCACCAAUUCCAAAAUUUCUCACAGCGUCUUGCUGUAAUGAAUUAACUAGUUUAGCUUCGUCUCUUGUCAGAGGCUCCUACAAAUAUAUACCAUUACACAAAGUUCAAUACACCAGCAAAUAAAAACGCGAUAAAUUUGAAAAGAAAAAACACCCUGAUUAACGGAAAUAAAAUUCCGAAAAUUGAAAGAGAAAAUACAAUAAUAGAAUGGUAAAUUACUACUACCUAAUUAAACAGAGGGAAGAAAAAAGGAUCAAAUGUACAGCUACAAAAAGAAGUGGGAAUUUAGGGAAAAGAAUAAAGCCCAUUUGAAAUUAGUGGGAAUGUACAGCUAAAGAAAAAAAAAAAAUACUCCAGUACCUUUCUGGAGGUGAGAAUUUCUUGCAGUUCCAAAAGAGCUUCCGCCGCCAUUAUUCAGCUGUGCCCCGAAUCAUAGAUCCUUUUGCAAAAGCGGCAUAUAGACGGUUUGUGAUCAACAGC
rnacentral:lncRNA from 1 species